rnacentral:rRNA from 1 species
AAUCAACGCUGGCGGCGUGCCUAACACAUGCAAGUCGAACGCGAAAGCCCCUUCGGGGGCAAGUAGAGUGGCGUCCGGGUGAGUAACACGUGGGUAAUCUACCUCCGGGUGGGGAAUAACUCGCCGAAAGGCGGGCUAAUACCGCAUAAUGCAGCGGCACCGAAUGGUGAUUAGUUGUUAAAGCGGGGGACCUUAGGGCCUCGCGUCUGGAGAGGAGCCUGCGGCAGAUUAGCUUGUUGGAGGGUAAUGGCCUACCAAGGCUGCGAUCUGUAGCUGGUCUGAGAGGACGGCCAGCCACACUGGCACUGACACACGGGCCAGACUCCUACGGGAGGCAGCAGUGGGGAAUUUUGGGCAAUGGGCGAAAGCCUGACCCAGCAACGCCGCGUGAAGGAGGAAAUCCUUCGGGAUGUAAACUUCACAAAUAUGGGAAGAA